GCGAGGUACGUGGUAGGAGUGGGGGUGGGACGGUGUGUGUGAGCGGUGGUCGGAUGUGCUGGGGGUAAAGGUGUGGUAGGUGGUGUGUUGCGGCGGGAGUGACAGCGCACAGUUUAACUGUGGGCUGGCUGUCGAUACGGGCAGACUUGAGGGAUGUAGGUGAGAACGGAAUUCCUGGUGGAGCGGUGGAAUGCGCAGAUAUCAGGAGGAACACCGGUGGCGAAGGCGGUUCUCUGGACAUUUCCUGACGCUGAGGAGCGAAAGCGUGGGGAGCAAACAGGAUUAGAUACCCUGGUAGUC
rnacentral:rRNA from 1 species